rnacentral:misc_RNA from 1 species
UAAGUAUGCACACUUCAUUCCUCUUCAACAUCCAUUUACUGCUUCUGGUGUUGCCAAAACAUUUGUGGAUACAAUCUUCAAGUUACAUGGCCUGCCUCAAUCAAUAGUGUCUGACAGGGACAGAGUUUUUACCAGUUUAUUUUGGAGGGAAUUAUUUAAAACUUUGGGGACUUCUCUUGCUUAUAGCACUGCCUAUCACCCACAAUCAGAUGGCCAAUCUGAGAGAAUCAAUCAGUGUGUACCGUACAGUGGGCUCUGGGGAGGGUUGAUAUGCGCAGCCUUAUCCCUGCUUUACCAAGAAGCUGUUGAACCUUAGAAAAUUACGGACAAUUAUUUUUUGAAUUCUAGACAUUCUAGGUAUAAUCUGUAUCUACUGAAUUACUAAAGUGCAUUGUUUUUUCUUCAUUUAAUGUGAAUAAAUAUGAAAAGAAAGGAAUAAUUUCUGAGUCUGGAGUUUCUAAGAUUUUGUUUUUGUGG